AGGGUUUGAUCAUGGCUCAGAACGAACGCUGGCGGCACGCUUCAUACAUGCAAGUCGAGCGGUAAGGCCUCUUCGGAGGUACACGAGCGGCGAACGGGUGAGUAACAGGUGGAUAAUCUGCUUUUUGGUGGGGGAUAACGGCUGGAAACGGCUGCUAAUACCCCAUGAGGUUGCAGAGCCUAUGGGCUUUGCAAAGAAAGGGGCCCUUAAUGCCUCGCCGGAAGAUGAGUCCGCCUCCCAUUAGCUUGUUGGUAGGGUAACGGCCCCCCAAGGCAUCGAUGGGUAGCCGAGCUGAGAGGUUGAUCGGCCACACUGGAACUGAGAUACGGUCCAGACACCUACGGGUGGCAGCAGUAGGGAAUAUUGCGCAAUGGGCGAAAGCUUGACGCAGCCAUGCCGCGUGAGUGAAGAAGGCCUUCGGGUUGUAAAGCUCUUUUCUGAGGGAAGAACAGCUGAUAGAGGAAAUGCUGUCAGUUUGACGGUACCUCAGGAAUAAGGGACGGCUAACUCCGUGCCAGCAGCCGCGGUAAUACGGAGGUCCCAAGCGUUGUUCGGAUUUACUGGGCGUAAAGGGAGCGCAGGCGGAUUGAUAAGUCUAAAGUGGAAGCCCGAGGCUCAACCUCGGAAAGCCUUUGGAUACUGUCAGUCUUGAGUAUGUGAAGGGAAUGCGGAAUUCAGGGUGUAGCGGUGAAAUGCUUAGAUAUCCUGAGGAACACCAAUGGCGAAAGCAGCAUUCUGGCACACUACUGACGCUGAGGCUCGAAAGCGUGGGGAGCGAACGGGAUUAGAUACCCCGGUAGUCCACGCCGUAAACGUUGUAUACUAGGUGUAGGAGGUAUCGACCCCUUCUGUGCCGUAGCUAACGCAUUAAGUAUACCGCCUGGGGAGUACGCACGCAAGUGUGAAACUCAAAGGAAUUGACGGGGGCCCGCACAAUCGGUGGAGCAUGUGGUUUAAUUCGAGGCAACGCGAAGAACCUUACCCAGGCUUGACAUCCCGGGACCGCCAUGGAAACAUGGUUUUCUCUUCGGAGACCCGGUGACAGGUGUUGCAUGGCUGUCGUCAGCUCGUGUCGUGAGAUGUUGGGUUAAGUCCCGCAACGAGCGCAACCCCUAUCCUUAGUUACCAGCGGUUCGGCCGGGGACUCUAAGGAGACUGCCUGUGACAAGCAGGAGGAAGGUGGGGACGACGUCAAGUCAUCACGGCCCUUAUGUCUGGGGCUACACACGUGCUACAAUGGCCGGUACAGAGGGUCGCCAACUCGCGAGAGUGAGCCAAUCCCAAAAAGCCGGUCUCAGUUCGGAUUGGAGUCUGCAACUCGACUCCAUGAAGUCGGAAUCGCUAGUAAUCGCGUGUCAGCCACAACGCGGUGAAUACGUUCCCGGGCCUUGUACACACCGCCCGUCACGUCAUGAAAGCCGGUUCAGCCCGAAGUGUGUGAGCUAACUUCGGAGGCAGCACCCUAAGGUUGGGCUGGUGAUUGGGAUUAAGUCGUAACAAGGUAGCC
rnacentral:rRNA from 1 species